rnacentral:piRNA from 1 species
UAGGGUGCACUUAUCUUCACUUGGGGU